GACGAACGCUGGCGGCGUGCCUAACACAUGCAAGUCAACGAGAAAAGGGUAGCAAUAUCCUGAGUAAAGUGGCGCACGGGUGAGUAACACGUAGGUAAUCUGCCAUUAGGACGGGGACAACCACGCGAAAGCGUGGCUAAUACCCGAUGAAUCAGCGGCGCCGCAUGGCGUUGUUGUUAAAUACCGCAAGGUGCCUGGUGAUGAACCUGCGUCCCAUUAGGUAGUUGGUGAGGUAACGGCUCACCAAGCCGACGAUGGGUAGCUGGUCUGAGAGGAUGAUCAGCCACACUGGAACUGAGACACGGUCCAGACUCCGUACGGGAGGCAGCAGCGAGGAAUAUUGCGCAAUGGCCGAAAGCUGACGCAGCGACGCCGCG
rnacentral:rRNA from 1 species